CGGCGAUGAAGAAAAGUUCUCCAACCUUGGAUGGCUAUAUGAGUAAAUUAUAUAUGAUCGAGUUCAAGUUGCUGAGAUUGGAGUAUGCUGGAUUACCCUCCUACAGUCAAUGGCAAACUUAUUGUUUCUUCCAAUAAGUUAAAAAGCAAAAAAA